CCGAACCCACCUAGGUAAAAACUGGGGGGAUGACCUGUGGAUAGGAGUGAAAGGCCUAUCAAACCCGGAGAUAUCUCGUUCUCCCCGAAAUAGCUUUAGGGCUAGCCUCAUACGAGUCUUGCGGAGGUAGAGCACUGAAUUCCUGCGGGGGCGUCAAAGCUUACCAAGGGAUAUCAAACUCCGAAUGCCGUGUAGAUGAUGUAUGGGAGUCAGACUAUCCGAGAUAAGUUGGGUAGUCAAAAGGGAAAGA
rnacentral:rRNA from 1 species